CUCACCUACACCAAGGCAACUUGGAAAGGAGGUGACGUUGUUGGAACCUAUUACUUCGCUUAUUGUUUCCGUUAUGGCAGGUGUGAUUUGCCACCUCAUCUGCAAAUGGUUGGACGAAAACGAUUAAAAGGACAACCAGCCUAAAAGUUUAAGCCGCUUUACGGAAUAGAAAACCCCGGAGACUGCCAUCUCCGGGGUUUUCGUUGUUGAAAC
rnacentral:sRNA from 1 species